AACUUCUAACGGUGGAUCUCUUGGCUCGUGCAUCGAUGAAGAACGUUGCCAGUUGCGAUAAGUAGUGUGAAUUGCAGAAUGAAGUGAAUCAUCGAAUCUUUGAACGCAAAUUGCACUCUCUGGAUAUCCGGAGAGUACGUCUGUCUGAGCGUCG
rnacentral:rRNA from 1 species